CCUUAGAGUUUGAUCCUGGCUCAGAGCCUACGCUGGCGGCAGGCUUAACACAUGCAAGUCGAGCGGGCGUAGCAAUACGUCAGCGGCAGACGGGUGAGUAACGCGUGGGAACGUACCUUUUGGUUCGGAACAACACAGGGAAACUUGUGCUAAUACCGGAUAAGCCCUUACGGGGAAAGAUUUAUCGCCGAAAGAUCGGCCCGCGUCUGAUUAGCUAGUUGGUGAGGUAAUGGCUCACCAAGGCGACGAUCAGUAGCUGGUCUGAGAGGAUGAUCAGCCACAUUGGGACUGAGACACGGCCCAAACUCCUACGGGAGGCAGCAGUGGGGAAUAUUGGACAAUGGGGGCAACCCUGAUCCAGCCAUGCCGCGUGAGUGAUGAAGGCCCUAGGGUUGUAAAGCUCUUUUGUGCGGGAAGAUAAUGACGGUACCGCAAGAAUAAGCCCCGGCUAACUUCGUGCCAGCAGCCGCGGUAAUACGAAGGGGGCUAGCGUUGCUCGGAAUCACUGGGCGUAAAGGGUGCGUAGGCGGGUCUUUAAGUCAGGGGUGAAAUCCUGGAGCUCAACUCCAGAACUGCCUUUGAUACUGAAGAUCUUGAGUUCGGGAGAGGUGAGUGGAACUGCGAGUGUAGAGGUGAAAUUCGUAGAUAUUCGCAAGAACACCAGUGGCGAAGGCGGCUCACUGGCCCGAUACUGACGCUGAGGCACGAAAGCGUGGGGAGCAAACAGGAUUAGAUACCCUGGUAGUCCACGCCGUAAACGAUG
rnacentral:rRNA from 1 species